rnacentral:lncRNA from 1 species
AAGAACUGAGAAUCAGUCAGCUACAUUCAGUCGUUGCAUGGCUAUGAAUAAAUUUCAAAUAUUUGGCUUCGCGAUUGCGAUAAAUUAAUCUUACGGUGAGUUUUUUUUUCCUGCUUAUAUGUAAUUCAAUGAAUUGGGAGGAUACAUUUCUACAUUGGAAAUCACUAAACAUAUUCCAGUUUUGAAAUUCAAUUGAAUCUUACACUUAAUUUUCCUAGUUGACAGUUUUAGUUUGUAUGCAUUCCAUUGGAAAUCAUUGUUAGGGAUCAUGUUCAUCAGUUCAUGUGCUGUGUACAACGAUGUAGGAGUUUAUUGAGAUCACUCUCGUGUUUUAGCUGGAUUUUUGUUUAAGUUCUGAUAUGUACAAUAAUGAUCUGCUACAGAAGUAUUUAGAGUUAAAUGGUCACAAAUACACCUAAAUUAUCCCUUUUUUCGAUUUUCAUAUUUGAACUAUCCGAGUUUCCUACAUUAACUAUCACCUACUAUUUAUCAAAACACACCUCAAAUAUCAAUUAUUCACUUUUCCUACCUAAAAUAUCAUUUAUUUAGGAAAAAUGAACUAUUGAUAGUUGAUGUGCAUUUUGAUAAGUAGUUGGUGAUAGGACAGUUAAUAGGAAAUAGUGGAGUAAUCGGUAAAGUUGCUGCCAUGUGACCAGAAGGUCACGGGUUCAAGCCUUGGAAACAGCCUCUGGCAUAAAUGCAAGGUAAGGCUGCGUACAAUACACCCUUGUGGUGGGGCCCUUCCCCGGACACCGCACAUAGCGGUAGCUUUAGUGCACCGGGUUGCCCUUUUGAAGGGGAGCCUUGGAGUAACUGGUAAAGUUGCUGCCGUGUGACCAGGAGGUCACUAGUUUAAGCCUUGGAAACAGCCUCUUGCAGAAAUGCAAGGUAAGGGGGCGUACAAUACACCCUUGUGGUGGGGCCCUUCCCCGGACACCGCACAUAGCGGUAGCUUUAGUGCACCGGGCUGCCCUUUUAUAUACCUAGUUCAAGUAUGAAACUCAACAAAUAAGUAUACUUUAGGAGUAUUUUUGAUCCUUCACUCUAAUAUUUAAUUAUUCAUGCAAUAUAAAACCUUGCUGACAUCAUUAGAAACCAUAUGCAAGCUCUGAACUUCAUUGUUUCUAGUAGAAAGUGCACGUGGAUAGAGCAGAAUGGUUACAAUGAAUCCAUGCGUACUGUGACUAAUUUGGGAUUGAGGCUGCAGAGGUGGAUCUAAAAUUUAAAGUUGAUUGGUUCGACCUUCAAGAUUUUUAAUAAUGAACUCAUUCUGCUAUUGAAAUUACUGAUUCAGAUUUAAUAUUCGUUUAAAAUUUAGUGUUUUUUCACGUGUUAGAAACACUGGGUUUGGUUAAAAAGAUACUGCAUCUUUUGACAGAAAUAUUGCGUAAGGUUGAACCGGCAGGCCACUAUUGACGCAUAGUUCAUUGUAUAGUGGAAACAAAACAUUGUCUUUUAAAUUAGUAGUUAGUAGUUACUUUGAGGAAAUUAAUAAUUAAAACAUCUAGUAUAUCUCUUGCUAAUGAUAGUGCCUACUUGGAAGUUGUCUUGCUAGGAGAAACUAUUUCCAAGUCUUCCUUCUCAAAGUUAGCAGUCGAUCAUGGAAAAUAGAUAUUCUUUCGGUAGGGACAUACUAAUAUUACUAAAGGGGUCCUUAGUAUGUGAUGGACCUGGUUCGGUUGAGUGUUUGGGUUUUGAUGCUAUGGAGUUGUCGCUGAGAAGUUGCUUCUAUGUAUCCACUAAUUAUAGAAUUCCUAAUACAAUAAGAUUACACAUUCUGGACAAACUCUUCCAAUUUAUGAAAAACUUGAAUAGCUAAAAACUUUUCACUUUGUUUUUCUUGAGUACUUUACAACUUUGUAUAACGUGCUGUCUUGGUCGUUUUAUCCUCCUUACUUUGGUGAUGAUGGCUUGGUCUUAGAGGACUUACCAGUGAUAGCUUUCGUCACCUUUGCAAUUGAGUGCUUGACUUUUGAUCCAACGCCUGACAAUAUGUUCUGAUGUUUCUUGUGUUGAACUUUAAUAUCAGCAUCUCGUGAGAUUUCUACAAUCACUGUAUCUUCAGAACUUGACCGUUCUCUUGUCUGUUGAAUUCCUUCCUCUUCUCUAUCAUUGUCUUCUCUUUCUUCAGCAAAGUUUUCCUCCAUUUUUGAUGUCUCUUUAACUGGUACAUGCAUAAGGUCAGAAACCUUAGCUUGCGUCUCUCUUGAUCUCGAUUCCUCUGGUGCUUCUUUUGAAUUACAUUCCAAUUCUUUCUCGUUUUUGUAAUUUUCUUGACUUUUGGCCUCUGCACCCAGUUGCACAUAUGGGGUAAUGCUGUCUUUGGGCGUACCAUUGACGCCAGUGCUGCUUGUUGGAACAGUUUCCUCCCUCUCUAAUGUAAGUAGAGGAUAUGCUGCUUGAUCUUGUAGCUGCUUAGUUGCAUUGCUUUCACUGCUCACCAUGUUAUCCAUUGCUAUCUCCUUUUCCGGAACCUUAACAGAUGUCAAUGAUGUCAAAUGUUCUGUUAUUUCUUCUUGCUCAUUCCUUGUUUUUUCCUCUUGUUCACCUCCUACUUGGGUAAUUGGAGCAUUUUCAGUCUUUAAUUCUUCUUUCUGUGUUUCUUUUGUUUCAUCGCAUGUUAUCAUCUCUCCGAAACCUGCUGCUGUUUUUCUUUCUGAUCCAAAAGGUUCCAAACUUCCUCUUUCAGGUUCACUUGUUGUUGUUCCCUGCUCUUGCUGUACCUGUGUUGUGCUGUUGUUUGAGGAAUCUUGGCCGGUGCUCUCUCUUAAGUCUUCUUCUUGUUCCUCCUAUGAGUUCAUAUCUUACCGUCAGAAAUCUUGAUUGAAUUGUUGCGCGAGUAAAUAGGGGAGACAGAGGGGUGUAUGAAAAGAUUGGAAUAAUGUAUUUUGCUUCUAUUUUUUUAGCUUUUUUCCUCACUGUUUAUAGUCUAGAUCCAGUUUUAUAAUUCAGAAUUAUGAUUUCUUGUAGCAGAUUGCAAAUCGGCAUUUAUGUUAUACUCUGCCUGUGUAUAUGAAAUGUUUCAUGCAGUUGACCAUGCAUAAUGUUUUCACGGCAACAUCUUUUCAAUCCCCUCUUUGCACGAGAAUACAAAAACUGAAAAUAAUAUAUAGUCAUCUAGAGAUUUGUGACCUUAACUAACUUGGAGUUGUGGCUUAGAUGUUGUCAUCGUUGUUGUUCUGAAAUAUUGUGCAGCAGGAGAACCAAAUUUCUAGGUUCAUAAACAUGCAAUAAACUCAUAGAUUCUCAGUAGAUGCUAAUCAGCUAACGUUGUAAGUUCUUGUUCAUUUACCUUGUUAGUAUUGUCCUCCACCCUCAUUUCUUCUGAAGAAAGUUCAAUUGCGUUCUCCACUCCACGCACGUCUUUAACCUCUUCUGUGGUUAGGUUGGCUUUUUGAAGGUUCUGCAGAAUAAAAAAAGAGCGAUACAGUGAUUUAGAAGAAAGAGAAAGCAUUUCUAUUUUAGCUUGGGGUUAGAUAUAUGAAUUGGAAACAGCCUUGUGUGGUCGCUUAACCUCUUGAUUGGGGGUUUCUGAAACCACUUUGCAUUCUUUAGAGUUAUUUGUCACCAUCUCUUCUUUGGCGGAUGUUAGAAGCUCGUCUAAGCUCCUUUCUUCUUUUUGUAGGACAUUCUUAUUUGUCCCAUCAUCAGCAUUGAUAUCUUUAAGUUCUUUUAUCUGUUUGGAUUGAUAGGUUUUGUUAUGACUAGUUUAGGCACAUGAAAGAAUAUCAAAAUAUUGGUAGAAGGAAGCCACUUAAUACCUCAAUUUCAACUUCUUUGCAAGGUCUCAUUGUUUCUUUGACUAACAGUUCUGCCUGUUUUCCAAUUAAAGCUUCUUCUUUCUCUGUUAAUUGUGUUUCAGAUUCAUCAAUUCUUUCAAUGACAGCUUCUUCCCUGUUUUGUUCUUUGAGUUCUUCUCCAAGUGGGUGUUCUUUAGGUUUCUCGUCAAUCAUUGGUUCUUCAAGUUUCUCUUUAACAACUAGUUCUUCAGAUUUCUCUUCAACUGGUAGAUUCUCGGGUUCUUCUUCAACUGCUGGUUCUUCAAAUUUUUCAGCUGCCGAUUCGUCAGGCUUUUCUUCAACUGAUGGUUCUUCAUGUUUUUCAUCGAAUGUUGGUUCUUCAACUGUAGAUUCUUCAGAUUUCUCCUCAACUGUUGGUUCCUCAGGUUUUUGGUCAACUACUGGUUCUUGAGGUUUAUCUUCAAUUGCUGGUUCUUCAGGUUUCUUUUCUAGUUCUUCACGUGUCUCUUUAACCACUGGAUCUUCAGGUGUUUCUUUCACCUCUUGUUUUUUGUGUUUCUCCUCAAUUGCUGGUUCUUGGGGUUUCUCUUCAAAUGUUUCUGCAAUUGCCAAUUUCUGAGGUUUCUCCUUUAUUGCUGGUUCUUCAGGUUUAUCCUCAACAAUUGGUUCUUCAAGCUUUUCCUCAACCAUUGGUUCUUCAAUUUUUUCCUCAACCAUUGGUUCUUCAGGUUUUUCCUCAACUCCUGGUUCUUCAGGUUUUUUCUCAACUGCUGGAUAGUCAACAACAUCAUUGUUGGUAUUGCAUGGAGUCUGAGUGUCAGACUUCCCGUUUGAAUCUAUAACUGACAUAUUCUGUAAGAAAAAUUUGAAGUUUCACUUAGUCUUCCAAUAGAUAAACAGAUGUGAAUUGUUGCACAUUCAGAGCUAAUAGUACAGGUAAAACUUGUGAGUACUUGAUCCUCACCUCUUCCAACAAAGUUACCUUUUCAGGCUUCGCUUCAACUUCAACUGCUAGUUUUUCAAGGUUCUUUUCAAUUGCUAGAUCUUUAGUUGUUUCUUCAACUGCUGGUUCUUCAGGUUUCUCUUCAAAUGUUAGUUCUUCAAGUGUUUCUUUCCAUGCUGGUCCUGCAAGUGUUUUUUCAACUACAAGCUCUUCAGAUUUCUCUUCAACUGUUGGUUCUUCAAGUUUCUCCUUGAAAACUGGUUCUUCAGUUUGUUUUUCCACUUCUGGUUCUUCAAGUUUCUCUUCAAUCACUUGUUUUUCAUGUUUUUCUUCAACUUCCAGUUCUUCAGCUGUUGGACAGUCAGCAACACCAUUGUUGGAAUUGCCUGGAAUUUCACUGUCAAUCUUGUCCUUUGAGUCUAUAAUUGACAUAUUCUGCAAGAAAAGUUUAAAAUUAGAUUUAAUAUUCAAUAGAUUGACAUAUGUGAGUGUGUUACACAUAUAAAGCUAUUAGAAUGGAUAAACUGUGACACUGUUUAAUCCUCACCUUCUCUAGGAGAGCUUCCGUUUCUAGUUUCUGCUCUUCAAUUACUGGGUUGUCGUGUUUCUCUUUAACAACUAGCUCUUCAAAGGUCUUUUCAACCAUUGGUUCUUCAGGUUUCUCUUCAAGUGCUAGCUCUCCAAGUGUUUCCUCCCCUGCUAGCUCUUCAUGUGUUUCUUUAGCUGUUGGUUCUUCAAGUUUUUCUUCAACAGUUGGUUCUUGAGGUUUCUCCUCAGCUGGUUUUUCAUAUUUCUCCUUAAUUGCUAGUGUAUCAAGUUUCUCUUCAAUAACUGGUCCUUCAGGUUUUUCUACAACUGCUGGUUCUUCAGGGUCUUUCUCAACUUCUUGAAAGUGAGCAUCAUCAUCGUUAGUAUUGCAUGGAAUUUCACAGUCAGUUUUGUCCUUUGAGUCCGCAACUAGCAAAUUCUGCAAGAAGAAUUAAAAGUUUCACUUAGUCUUUUAGUAGAUAAAGCAGAUGUGAAUCAUUGCACAUACAUAAAUAAUAGGAUGGAUAAACUUAUGACAGUGCUUGACCCUCGCCUUAUCCAAAAGAGUUACCUUUUCAAGUUUCUCCUCUUCAACUGUUGGGUUUUCAGGUUUCUCCUCUUCAACUACUGGUUUGUCAGUUUUUUCUUCAAAUGCUAGUUCAUUAGGUGUUUCUUCCCGUUUUGAUUCCUUGAGUGUUUCUUCAGUUUUUGGUUUUUCAGGUUUCUCUUCAACCAUUGGUUCUUCAAGUUUCUCCUCCACAGUUGUUUUUUCAUGUUUCUCUUCAACUGCCAGAUCUUCAAGUUCUCUCUCAACUGUUGGUUCUUCAGGCUUCUCCAUAACCGCCAAUACUUCAGGCUUCUCUUCAAUUGUUGUUUCUUCAUGUUCUUUUUCAACUACUGGUUCUUGAGAUUUUUCCUUGACUGAUUCAUAGUCAGCAAUAUCAUUGGUGGUAUUGCAUGACAUUACAUAAUCUAUCUUGUCCUUUGAGUCUACAAUUGGAAAAUGCUGCAAGAAAAUUUAAAAGUUUUACUUAGUCUUUCAACAGAUAAACAUAUGUAAAUCCGUUGCACAUAUAAAGCUAAUAUGAUGGAUAAAUUUUGUGACAAUGUUUAAUUCUGACCUUCUCUAGAAGAGCUCCGGUUUCAGGUUUCUCCACUUCAACAACUAGUUCUUUAGGUGUCUUUUCAACCGUUGCUUCUUCAGGUUUCUCUUCAAGUGCUAGUUCUUCAGCUGUUUCCUCCCCCUCUAACUCUUCAGGUGUUUUUUUAGCUGUUCGUUCUUCAGAUUUCUCUUCAGCCGCAGGUUCUUGAGGUUUCUCUUCAAAUGGUAAUUCAAAUUUCUCCUCAACCGAUGGUUCUUCAAAUUUCUCUUGAAUAACUGGUUCUUCAGGUUUUUCUUCAACUGCUGAUUCUUCAAGAUUUUCUUCAACAUUUAAAGAUUGAGCAACAUCAUUACUGGUAUUGCAUGGAAUUUCACUGCCAUUUUUGCUGUUCAAGUCUACAACUAGCAUAUUCUGCAAAAGAGUUUAAUGUUUCACUUAGUCUUUCAAUAAAGAAGCAGACGUGAAUCAUUUCACAUACAUAACUAAUAAUAUGGAUAGCUAAUAAUAUGGAUUAACUUUUAUGACAGAUUUUCCACAAGAGCUACCUUUUCAGGUUUCUCCUCUUCAAGUGAUGGUUUCUCUUCAAAUGAUAGUUCAUUAGGCGUUUCUUCCUGUGUUGGUUUUUCAUGUGCUUCUUCAGUUACUGGUUUUUCAGGUUUCUCCUUAGUUGUUGGUUCUUCGCUUGUCUCCUCAGCUGAUUGUUCUUCAAGCUUCUCUCCUGUUGUUGAUUUUUCUGGUUUCUCUUCAAUUAUCGGUGGUUCAGGUUUUUUCUCAACCGGUGAUUCUUCUGGUUUCUCCAAAACCAUUGAUUCUUCAUGUUUUUUUUCAACUACUGACUCUUCAGUGUUUUCCUCAACUGAUGCAUAGUCAGCAAUAUCGUUGUUGGUAUUGCUUGGAAUUGCAUUGUCUAUCUUGUCCUUUGAGUUUACUUUUGGCAUAUUCUGCAAUGAAGUUUCACGUAGUCUUUCAAUAGAUAAACAAAUGUAAAUUUGUUGCACAUAUAAAAGCUAAUAUGAUGGAUAAAAUUUGUGCCAGUGUUUAAUCCUCACCUUCUCCUGAAGAGCUUCCGCUUCAAGUUCCUCCUCUUCAAUUGCAGGUUUUUCAUCUUUCUCUCCAACAACUAGUUCUUCAGGUUUCUCUUCAAGUGCCAGUUCUUCAGGUGUUUCCUCCUUUGCCAGCUCUUCAGGUGUUUCCUCCUUUGCCAGCUCUUCAGGUGUUUCUUUAGCUGCCGGUUCUUCAGGUUUCUCUUCAACCUCCGGUUCUUGUGGUAUUUCCUCUACUUGUACUUCAGAUUUCUCCUCAAUUGUUGGUUCUUCAGGUUUCUCUCUAACCGCUGCUGCAUUAGGUUUCUCUUCAUUGGCUGGUUCUUCAGGUUUUUCUUCAACUACCGAUUCUUCAGGAUUUUCCUCAAUGUUUGGAAAGGGAGCGACAUCAUUAUUGGUAUUGCAUGGAAUUUCACUGCCAGUUUUGUCAUUCAAGUCCACAACUAGUAUAUUCUGCAAAAGAGUUUAAUGUUUCACUUAGUCUUUCAAUAAAGAAGCAGAUGCGAAUCAUUACAUAUACAUAACUAAUAACAUGGAUAAACUUUAUGACAGUAGUUGACCCUUACCUUUUCCACAAGAGUUACUUUUGCAGGUUUCUCCUCUUCAAGUGCUGGUUUCUCUUCAAAUGAUAGUUCAUUAGGUGUUUCUUCCCGUGUUGGUUCUUCAUGUGCUUCUUCAGUUACUGGUUUUUCAGGUUUCUCCUCAAUUGUUGGUUCUUCGCUUGUCUUCUCAACUGAUGGUUCCUCAUGCUUCUCUCCCGUUGUUGAUUUUUCGGGUUUCUCUUCAGUUGUCGAUGGUUCAGUUUUUUUCUCAACCGCUGGUUCUUUUGGCUUCUCCAAAACCAUUUCCGAUUUCUCUUCAGUUGGUGGUUCUUCAUGGUUUUUUUCAACUACUGGUUCUUCUCUUUUUUCCUCAACUGAUGCAUAGUCAGCAAUAUCGUUGUUGGUAUUGCUUGGAAUUGCAUUGUCUGUCUUGUCCUUUGAGCUUACAAUUGGCAUAUUCUGCUAGAAAAAUAUAAAGUUUCAUGUAGUCUUUCAACAGAGAAACCAAUGUAAAUUUGUUGCACAUAUAAAGCUAACAAAUAUGAUGGAUAGACUUUGCGAGAGUGUUUAAUACUCACCUUCUCCGGAAGAGCUUCCGUUUCAGGUUCCUCUUCAAUUUCUGCUUUUUCAUCUUUCUCUUCAACAACUAGUUCUUCAGGUGUCUCUUCAACCGUUGAUUCUUCAGGUUUCUCUUCAAGUGUUAGUUCUUGAGGUGUUUCCUCCUUUGCUAGCUCUUCAGGUGUUUCUGUAACUGCCGGUUCUUCAGGUUCCUCUUCAGCCACCGGCUGUUGACGUAUCUCCUCUACUUGUACUUCAGAUUUCUCCUCAAUUGUUGGUUCUUCAGGUUUCUCCUUAACCGCUGGUACAUCAGGUUUAUCCUCAUUGACUGGUUCUUCAACUGCUGAUUCUUCUAGAUUUUCCUCAAUGUCUGGAAAGCGAGCAACAUCAUUAUUGGUAUUGCAUGGAAUUUCAUUUCCAGUUUCGUUAUUCGAGUCUACAAUUAGCAUAUUCUGCAAAAAGAAUUUAAUGUUUCAUUUAGCCUUUCAAUAAAGAAGCAUAUGCGAAUAACAGUACAUGCAUAACUAACAAAAUGGAUAAACUUUGUGAUAGUGCUUGAUCCUUACCUUUGCCAAAAGAGUUACCUUUUCAGGUUUCUCCUCUUCAACGGUUGGUUCUUCAUGUUUCUUUUCAAAUGCUAGUUCCUUGGUUGUUUCUUCCGGUGUUGGUUCCAUAGGUGUUUCUUCAGUUACUUGUUUUUCGGGUUUCUCUUCAAUUAUUGGUUCUUCGAUUGUCUUCUCAACUGAUGGUUCUUCAAGAUUUUCUCCCACUGUUGGUUUUUGGGGUUUCUCUUCUAUUGUUGGUUGUUCAGGAAUUUUCUCAACUGGUGGUUCUGCUGGAUAUUCCAAAACCAUUGAUUCUUCAGAUUUCUCUUCAAUUGAUGGUUCUUCAUGGGUUUUUUCAACUACUGGUUCUUCAAUUUUUUCCUCAACAGAUGCAUAGUCAACAAUAUCAUUAUUGGUAUUGCUUGGAAUUGCAUCGUCUGUCAUGUCCUUUGAGUUUACUUUUGGCAUAUUCUGCAAUAGAGUUUCAUGUAAUCUUUCAACAGAUAAACAGAUGUAAAUUUGUUGCACAUAUAAAGCUAAUAUGGUGGAUAAACUUUGUGACAGUGUUUAAUCCUCACCUUCUCCUGAAGAUCUUCCGCUUCAAGUUCCUCCUCUACAAUUGCAGUUUUUUCCUCUUCCCCUUCAACAACUAGUUCUUCAGGUGCCUCUUCAGCCGUUGAUUCUUCAGGUUUCUCUUCAAGUGCUAGUUCUUCAGGUGUUUCCUCCUUUGCCAGCUCUUCAGGUGUUUCUUUAGAUGCCGAUUCUUCAGGUUUCUCUUCAGCCAUCGGUUCUUGAGGUAUUUCCUCUACUUGUACUUCAUAUUUCUCCUCAAUUGUUUGUUCUUCAGGUUUCUCUUCAGGUUUCUCCUUAACCACUGGUACAUCAGGUUUCUCUUGAUUAACUGGUUCUUUGGGUUUUUCUUCAACAGCCGAAUCUUCAGGAUUUUCCUCAAUGUCUUGAAAGCAAGCAAUAUCUUUAGUGGUAUUGCAUGGAAUUUCACUGCCAGUUUUGUUGUUCGAGUCUACAAUUAGCAUAUUCUGCAAAAGGAAUUUGAUGUUUCAUUUAGCCUUUUAAUAAAGAAGCAGAUGUGAAUAACAUUACAUGCAUAACUUACAAAAUGGAUAAAUUUUGUGACAGUCCUUGACCCUUACCUUUUCAGGUUUCUCCUCUUCAACAGCUGAUUCUUCAUGUUUCUCUUCAAAUGCUAGUUCUCUGGGUGUUUCUUCCCGUAGUGCUUCUUCAUGUGCUUCUUCAGUUACUGGUUUUUCAGGUUUCUCCUCAAUUGUUGGUUCUUUGAUUGUCUCCUCAACAGAUGGUUCUUCAAGCUUCUCUCCCGUUGUUGAUUUUUCUGGUUUCUCUUCAAUUGCUGGUUGUUCAGGAAUUUUCUCAACAGCUGGUUCUUCUGGCUUCUCUAAAACCAUUGAUUCUUCAGCUUUCUCUUCAAUUGAUGGUUCUUCAUGGUUUUUUUCAACUAUUGGUUCUUCAGUUUUUUCCUCAACGGAUGCAUAGUCAACAAUAUCAUUGUUGGUAUUGCUUGGAAUUGCAUCGUCUGUCAUGUCCUUUGAGUUUACUUUUGGCAUAUUCUACAAUAAAGUUUCAUGUAGUCUUUCAAUAGAUAAACAGAUGUAAAUUUGUUGCAACAUAUAAAGCUAAUAUGGUGGAUAAACUUUGUGACAGUGUUUAAUCCUCACCUUCUCCCGAAGAUCUUCCGCUUUAAGUUCCUCCUCUUCAAUUGCUGUUUUUUCAUCUUUCGUUUCAACAACUAGUUCUUCAGGUGCCUCUUCAGCCGUUGAUUCUUCAGGUUUUUCUUCAAGUGCCAGCUCUUCAGGUGUUUCCUCCUUUGCCAUCUCUUCAGGUGUUUCCUCCUUUGCCAGCUCUUCAGGUGUUUCUUUAGCUGCUGGUUCUUCAGGUUUCUCUUCAGCCGCCAGUUCUUGAGGUAUCUCCUUUUCUACUUCAGAUUUCUCCUCAACUGUUGGUUCUUCAGGUUUCUCUUCAUUAACUGGUUCUUUGGGUUUUUCUUCAACAGCCGAAUCUUCAGGAUUUUCCUCAAUGUCUGGAAAGUGAGCAACAUCUUUAUUGGUAUUGCAUGCAAUUUCACUGUCAGUUUUGUCGUUCAAGUCUACAAUUAGCAUAUUCUGCAAAAAGAAUUUGAUGUUUCAUUUAGCCUAUUAAUAAAGAAGCAGAUGUGAAUAACAUUACAUGCAUAACUUACAAAAUGGAUAAACUUUGUGAUGGUCCUUGACCCUUACCUUUCCAGGCUUCUCCUCUUCAACGGCCAGUUCUUGUUUCUCUUCAAAUGCUAGUUCCCUGGGUGUUUCUUCCUGUAUUGGUUCUUCAUGUGCUUCUUCAGGUACUGGUUUUUCAGGUUUCUCCUCAAUUGUUGGUUCUUCGAUUGUCUCCUCAACAGAUGGUUCUUCAAGGUUCUCUCCCGUUGUUGAGUCUUCUGGUUUCUCUUCAAUUGCUGGUUGUUCAGAAAUUUUCUCAACAGCUGGUUCUUCUGGCUUCUCCAAAACCAUUGAUUCUUCAGCUUUCUCUUCAAUUAAAGGUUCUUCAUGGUUUUUUUCAACUACUGUUUCUUCAGUUUUUUCCUCAACGGAUGCAUAGUCAACAACAUCAUUGUUGGUAUUGCUUGGAAUUGCAUCGUCUGUCAUGUCCUUUGAGCUUACUUUUGGCAUAUUCUGCAAUAAAGUUUCAUGUAGUCUUUCAAUAGAUAAACAGAUGUAAAUUUGUUGCACAUAUAAAGCCAAUAUGGUGGAUACACUUUGUGACAGUGUUUAAUCCUCACCUUCUCCUGAAGAUCUUCCGCUUCAAGUUCUUCCUCUUCAAUUGCUGUUUUUUCAUCUCUCUCUUCAACAACUUGUUCUUCAGGUGCCUCUUCAGCCGUUGAUUCUUCAGGUUUCUCUUCAAGCACUAGUUCUUCAGGUGUUUCCUCCUUUGCCAGCUCUUCAGGUGUUUCUUUAGCUGCCAGUUCUUCAGGUUUCUCUUCAGCUGCCGAUUCUUGAGGUAUUUCCUUUACCUGUACUUUAGAUUUCUCCUCAAAUGUUGGUUCUUCAGGUUUCUCCUUAACCGCAGGUACAUCAGGUUUCUCUUCAGCUGCUGGUUUUUGAGGUUUCUCCUCUACUUGUACCUCGGAUUUCUCCUCAACCAUCGGUUCUUCAGGUUUCUCCUCAACCUCUGGUACGUCAGGUUUCUCUUCAUUAACAAGUUCUUCACUUUUUUCUUCAAUAGUUGAUUCUUCAGGAUUUUCCUUAGUGUCUGGAGAGUAAGCAACAUCAUUAUUGGUAUUGCAUGGAAUUUCACUGCCAGUUGUGUCGUUCGACUCUACCAUUGGCAUAUUCUGCAGAAAGAAUUUAAUGUUUCACUUUGCCUUUCAAUAAAGAAGCCGAUGUAAAUCAGAGGACAUACAUAACUAAAAAAGAUGGAUUAACUUUGUGAUAGUGUUUGACUCUUACCUUUUCGAAAAGAGUUAUCUUUUCAGGUUUCUCCUCUUCAACUGUUGGUUCUUCAUGUUUCUCUUCAAAUGCUAGUUCCUCAGGUGUUUCUUCCUGUAUUGGUUCCUCAGGUGUUUCUUCUUCUGUUACUUGCUUUUCAGGUUUCUCCUCAAUUGUUGGUUCUUUGAUUGUCUCCCCAAUCGAUGGUUCUUCAAGCUUUCCCCCCCCUGUUGGUUUUUCAGGUUUCUCUUCAAUUUUCGGUUGUUCAG